rnacentral:sRNA from 1 species
UUAAGAGUGGAGGACUAUUUUACGAAAC